UGGGGAAUAUUGGGCAAUGGGCGAAAGCCUGACCCAGCAACGCCGCGUGAGGGAAGAAGGUCUUCGGAUUGUAAACCUCUGUCCUUGGGGACGAAAAAAAUGACGGUACCCAAGGAGGAAGCCCCGGCUAACUACGUGCCAGCAGCCGCGGUAAUACGUAGGGGGCAAGCGUUGUCCGGAAUUACUGGGCGUAAAGGGUGCGUAGGCGGUUGCCUAAGUCAGAUGUGAAAUCCCCGGGCUUAACUCGGGUGGUGCAUUUGAAACUGGGUUACUAGAGUGCAGGAGAGGAAAGCGGAAUUCCUAGUGUAGCGGUGAAAUGCGUAGAUAUUAGGAGGAACACCAGUGGCGAAGGCGGCUUUCUGGACUGUAACUGACGCUGAGGCACGAAAGCGUGGGGAGCAAACA
rnacentral:rRNA from 1 species